UACGGAGGGUGCAAGCGUUAUCCGGAUUCACUGGGUUUAAAGGGUGCGUAGGUGGGUCUGUAAGUCAGUGGUGAAAUCUCCGAGCUUAACUUGGAAACUGCCAUUGAUACUAUAGAUCUUGAAUACCGUGGAGGUCAGCGGAAUAUGUCAUGUAGCGGUGAAAUGCUUAGAUAUGACAUAGAACACCAAUUGCGAAGGCAGCUGGCUACAUGAAUAUUGACACUGAUGCACGAAAGCGUGGGGAUCAAACAGG
rnacentral:rRNA from 1 species